AAUCUCUCCUUUUGUUUAAAUUAAAAAAAUGUAAAUAAACAAAAAUUCAAAGCAAGGAUUGAAUAGAGGGAAAUUUCAUAUGCAUUAACAUUUUUAGUAUAUAUUAGAGAACUAAUGAGCUAGGAUAUCAUUAGACAUUACAACAUUAGAGGGUAAGCUUCUCCUGUAUAUAACGUACUCCAAAAAUGAAACUUCUUGCUCUCCACAUCUUUUAUAAAACC
rnacentral:lncRNA from 1 species